GGAACUGGAAGUGGCCCUGCAAAGCGAGUCCAUUUUAACAAAUUUGAGGAGCUGCUGCUGUCUUUCCUACACACUGAGAGUGGGAGAGGUGUGUCCGGCACGUAUGAUUCGGACAGGAAUGUUGGCCAAGAUUCAUCCUUAACACCACCUGGCACUAGCAAACACAGACAAUCGUCAUCUGCUCCCAUUCCAGGUGGACGCUCCUAGUCUGUGCUCCACUCCCCAUGAUGCGAUCCUGCAAUUGGAGGGGUUACGUUUAGUGGGGAGGAAAGUGAGAGAGGGUCACACGUAGGUGGCAGCGAUGUAGCCUUGUUCUCAUAUGAGGGCCCGGACAACAUUCCCCAGCAGCAGCAGCUCCCAACCCAGGCCAGAGGAGAUAAUGUGGCCCCCCAGGAACCUCAGAAAGAUAGGUUCCACAAAUCCCUAAUAAGGCAUCAUAAAGCCUUAAUGAAAAAAUUGGAUAUUAUGCAUGUCGACUUGUGUGUGGCCACUGAUGCCUACAAUGCUAGUCAGGCACGGCAAGCCGCACAUGAGUUGGCCAUGCUAAGCCUCCAGCAGGCCAGCGAGGCACGCAAAGCGCAACAUGAGGCUGCCACGUUAAGCCUGCAAGAGGAGCGGGAAGAACUGAAAAGGCAAAGACUGGCACUGUUGGCUCGCCAAAAUUUGCUCCUAGAGCAACAAAAUGCCUUACUACAGUGAUCCCCAACCAGUGGCUCGUGAGCAACAUGUUGCUCCCUGAACCCUUGGAUGUUGCUCCUGGUGACCACAAUGCAGGUGCAAAUUUUUAAUUUCUUGGCUUGGAGGCAAGUUUUGGUUGCAUAAAAACCAGAUGUACUGCCAAAUAGAGCCUCCUGUAGGCUGCCUGUCCACAUAGAGACUACCAAAUUGCCAAUAACAGCCCUUAUGUGGCACCCCCAGAAACUUAGCAAUGGUUGUGUUGCUCCCCAGCUCAUUUUACAUUGGAAUGUGGCUCACGGGUAGAAAAGGUUGCCUUACUACAACAGACACAAAAGCCAACAGAGCCAACAUGCUCUACCAGUCGAGCUACUCUUGAGAGCACAGCUCCCGCUCCUGCAGGUUCGACUAGGCAGCUUCGUAAAAGAAAAUAAAUCAGACACAUUAGGGAUUUGUGGAACCUAUCUUUUCUA